ACAUUAGUUAGGGUAUACUGCACGUGCACAGGGGAAAGAAGCGUCAUGAAGUUCAGAUUCUGUGAGGAAGUUAAAGAGGGCGACAUCGAGGCUAAAGAGGUCACUUUGAAGAGAUGUAACAUGAGCUAAUACUUGGUCGCCACUUCAGAAAGCCAGGGCCUUGUCAGAUCCAGGAAAGACCAUCUCGCCAGGAUGGAUUGCAGCCCCGUGCUGCUGCUGCUGUGUGUUUGGGGGAGCAAGAAGAGGACAGUGUGGCUUCCUCGUCAGGAGUGCCUUAGCACAGGGCCUGACCACAUACAUGGACCCACGUGGGAGGGAAUUGGGCUUUAUUUUAAAUUGUGGAAGCCACGAGAAUACUUUAGGCAGAGGAAUGACAGGUCAUCUGUGGUUUAGAUUCAUUGUUGUGGCCAUAUUAUGAAAUGUCUCACCUGGGUGGUGACUCCCCUAGGAGCCUUGAUGCAGUGAUCCAGACAAUGCCGGGGAACCUGUGAAGUGGAAAGUUGAGGGUUCUUUGAUGGUUGAAUGGUUUUGCUGGGGCAAACAUGUGAUGUAACGUUUCCUUAAAGUGGACACAGAUAUGAAAGUCUAAGGCCAACUUGUGAAAGAAAGGUUAGCUGAAGCAGACACAGGAGAGAGGAUGCUUUGCUAAAUGAAAGAUUCUUUGCUGAGGACACACAUGUGUUGGUCCGCCUUACACUGUGUAGUUGAGCUGCGUUUGUCGCUACUCCAUAGAGCGAAACAACCAAAAAGUGUGGUGUACUGCAGUUUGUUGCCGCUUCCAAGGACUCGGGCUGACUGGACCCAUGUGCUGAGGCAAGGAACAUGGAGGACAUGUGAUGUUUGGAGGGUGUAUUUAGGACUCCGUGGAGUGAUGGAGACAGCAUAGCAAGUGGAUCGUGCAUCUUCACUCAUCUUCACUUCCCCGAGAGGGACAGCGAGAACUUCUGGGGCUCCUCUUGGUCCCUCUUGCUGACUGGAGCUGAGGCUGAGGCCUGGCUAUCUCUGCUAGGUUGUGUCAAUGCUGUUGCUAACUGGACCGAACUGGACUGCUGGUGUAUCUGUGAAGUGUUUGUGAGUGGAUCGAGCUGCCGCCUCCUGCUGACCUGUGAACUGAAUGGCUGAUUUCCAGACAACACAGAUGGGAGUUGCUCCAAAGAAUCUAAACAGGUCCACUUUUCCUGUAUCCUUUGUUUUCCACCACCUCUGCUGUGUGGUGGGCUACAAGGGAGGUUAAAGUGUUCAGGAACUAUCAUUAAAAUUAGGAAUAGAAAAAAUUAAA
rnacentral:lncRNA from 1 species